UAAGAGCAUAAUCGUCGCUUAAUUGGAGACGGUUCGUCAACAUCCAUUUUGAGGACGGACAGCCACCAAAGAGCAAUGCGUGUGGCCCCAGCGGAAGAAUUUCCCCGGCUUCGACGGCCAGGAUGACGUCGGGGCCAGCCCGGGACCGGGGACCUGGGCUCACGCCGCCUUCUCCCAGCGGCUUUUAUUUCAUUUCACUCUUCGGGAAACAGAGAGAGAACUCCGCGCGCGACCUAAGCACGGACACAUAGAGGAACUACACGAAGGACGCUCUGCUACCCGCCAUACCGAGACCCAGAACGUGGUCCCCCCGAGCCAGCCCGCCGCCGGGAGAGAAGCUGGGUCCCCGCCACGGCGAGAACAGAUCUUGCUGCUUUGCUCUCUGCCUGCUGGAUCGCAGGAGAGCUCCAGGAAACAAUGUUGCUAAACCGGAAGGGAUUUGGGAUGGAAGAACAGCUGAGCCCACCAGCUGCAAGUGAGAUACGACCACCCACUAGGAAUUGUCCUUUCUGAAAUUCAGUUGCUUCUACAGAAAAGAAACACUUUGGAAGGGGCCUGGGUAACCAGCUCCAUGGACCUUGGGAGGACUUGAGACCCUGCCUGCAGGAGACCUUGGACCUCAACCCUGUAGCCUCGGAAGCUGGGUCAGGAUCUAGUAAAAUCAAGAUCACGUUCUGGUCAACUUCCCCAUAGUCAGCAGGGAAAGGGAGAGAGAGAGAGACAUCCAUGAGUUUCUCCACUUAUUGAAGCUUUCACGGGUUGAUUCUUAUAUGUGCCCUGACUGGGGACUGAACUCCUAACCUGGAUGUUUUGGGACAAUCCUCUGAGCAACUGAGCUACCUGGCCAGAGCUGACCUUGGUCAUUCUAACUUGCAUUUACACAUACGGACUUCUGUGGGUGUAUCUGUGUAUCUGGGGGGAGGGGGGAAGGAGAGGGCGAUGAAAUGUUACAAUAUGAUUUUUCCCCAAACUAUCAAAAAAAAAAAUCCCCUCGUGUAUCAAACUUGGAACGUUUAAAAUACCUUGUGUUAUUGCAUUGUUGGAUCUCUGUUAUAUCUUGGACCCAUAACUAAAAUGUUCUGUGUGAGCAGGACCAUCUUUAUUAUUCAUUUAUUUAUUUAUUAGAGAAUAAACAUGGCUUUUACACUAAUUUGAAAAACACUAAUUGUAAAUAUCCCAAGGGCCAUUUUGAGGUGUAUUUGCUGUGUUAUCAUAGGGGUCAUAUCUAUGAAAACAUCACAGCAGAGACAUUUAUAAUAGGGGCCACAAAACAGGGAAUGACUAUGGAUUUCCAUUUUCUUGUAACAUUGGCCAGUGUAACAUUGGCCAAUGACUUAUUUUUUCUGGAGCUCAAAUGUGCCUGCUGCCACUGAGAGACCAUCAGCCUUCUUUCUCACCUUUGGAUGAUUGCACAGAAUUUAUAUAAAGUCCUUUCGACCUGCUUCAGAGGGUUCCCUGUUUCUGUCAUGACCACUGUCACUAAGGAAUGGGGACUGCAAUACGGAACAUGAGGGGAGGAAGGAAGUAUGAAAGCUCUUAGCUGUUUUCCCUGAGACACAAUGGUGGAGAGAAACGAGGACGCAGGGAGGGUUCUCCGAACCUGGGAUUAAUAGUAGUGAGUGUGGUUCUCUGCGUGUCCAUCCGCCCUCCUUGGUUCUCCAGCACUUUUUAGGCCCCUAGGGAAACCUCACCUCUUGUGAGUUUCUAAUGGAUCUUUGCAAAUUUGUAUCGGUUGGUUGCAGCUUUUUUGUUUCUAUGAUUCUAAGAGGUUGCAGCCUCCCCUCUCCUAGACUCUGCCGCUAGACCCUGCUCUUUCCCCAGAGCAAAGGGGCUUGAAUGGUCAAAGAGGAAGAGGCUUGGGCAGCUCUUUCCACUCUGCUCCCAGCUCUUUCAUGCCCGGGGGUGUCCAGUCGGGGUCGGAGCCCCGCCUGGAUACCCAGGUGCUCCCUGCUCCCCUCCCCUGCAGGACAAGCUCGGUGCAGGUCCAACUUGUGUGUUCUCAUCUCUCGGCACCCAUGCCAAGGUUGCUUUCUUUUUUAAAGUUACAUUUCUGCCUGCCUGCCAGCUGAUUUCCCUCCAUUCUCCUCCUCCUUCUUGCCUUAAAUAAUAUCCCUUUCUUCUUCCAAACACUCUCAGUAGGAAUGAGCUGCCACUUCUGUAAGCUGGGACUGAUGUCCUCAGAUGGCUAAAGUGACAUCUAGACAGAAAUUCCUGUACGUUAGAGCACAGGUGGCAAACACCAGGCCCACAGCCCGAAUCCAGCCCUCCACCUUGUUCCAUCCGGCCUAGCACCUCAUUUCUUCCGGGCGGUAGCGCCAAAGCUCUCGCUUAACUGUUAAGUAGUUACAUUUACACAGCCCUAAAAUUACAUUCAGCUCUUUGAAGGCAACCACGAGGCUGAUGCGGCCCCCAGUGAAAAUGAGUUUGACACCCCUGUGCUAGAAUAUCACACAUGAAUAAAGUGGUUGGGGAGAGAUUCAUGCACAUUUUUUUACAUCCCCAGAUAUUUAAUUAAAAACCUGUAAUAGAAUCGAAUCCUGCUCUUAUUGGAGGAAAAGAGUAGAAUCUGAUGGAGAGAAACAGAUUUUUUUUUUUAAAGCCAAGAAUCUGAAAGAAGUCAAGGACUUUUAUGUUGUUUUUAACUAAAGAAAUGGACUCUGUCCCAAGCAUGGAGGGAAUAAGUAAGGCAAUAGUCGUUUCGGGGGUGAUUGU